AGAACAUCCACCGUGGAGUGGAAACAGAAGGGUGCUCCAGGUCUGAGUGCCACUUGUGGAUCCUGUCACUUCUCGAUGUGAGUCUUUGGGCAAAUCACGUCACUUCUGUUGAGCUGCAUUUCCCUCACAUGUAAAACAGAGCAACUGAGGAAGAGAACAUGUGGCCUAGGACACUGAUUCCAGCAUGGUGUCUAACACCCAGUGGGCAUCAAAAAAAUGGUAAGUGAAUGAAAGAAUGACCUGUGACACAGUGACUGUAAUUCCAAGGUACAACUAGGGCAGAGGAAAGUAGCAGUCAUCUCAGAGGGGAGAAAAACCAAAACCGGAUGGACUGAAGGGGACCUUUCUAAACCAGGCUGAAGACAGAGUGCCACCCACCCCUCAGCAGUCCCUGAAGGCUCAUCAGCCACAGGACACCUGUUCCAUCCUAUUUCUAGGGCUUACAAAACAGAUGGAGUUAAUUAACAAAGACAAUACAUAUAUGCAUCAUCCUGCAGCCAUAAACCAGAAGGAUGUCACAGCUUUAACUUCAAAGCCUCCCAGCAAGCACAGCCUGAGAUAUUUUUAGGCAUCAGCUCCAUUGUUUCAAAGAGGAUAUGGUUUGGUGAAAUAAAAUUGCCAAAAAGUAAAAUUCACAGGACAACCUUGCUAGGAUGAAGAGUGGCAUUUGAUUUUAAAACCAGUUAUGUCUGUCUUAAAGGGUGUGCUUCUGCAAAGCUGAGAAUAAAUUUUGUCAUCAAAUGUUUAA